CCUACGGGGUGCAGCAGUGGGGGAUAUUGCACAAUGGGGGGAACCCUGAUGCAGCGACGCCGCGUGGGUGAAGGAGUGCUUCGGCAUGUAAAGCCCUAUCGGCAGGGAAGAAGCAAGACGGUACCUGACUAAGAAGCCCCGGCUAACUACGUGCCAGCAGCCGCGGUAAUACGUAGGGGGCGAGCGUUAUCCGGAUUCACUGGGUGUAAAGGGAGCGUAGACGGCCAUGCAAGCCAGGGGUGAAAGCCCGGGGCCCAACCCCGGGACUGCCCUUGGAACUGUGCGGCUAGAGUGCGGGAGGGGCAGGCGGAAUUCCUGGGGUAGCGGUGAAAUGCGUAGAUAUCAGGAGGAACACCGGCGGCGAAGGCGGCCUGCUGGACUGCGACUGACGUUGAGGCUCGAAAGCGUGGGGAGCGAACAGGAUUAGAUACCCUUGUAGUC
rnacentral:rRNA from 1 species